rnacentral:lncRNA from 1 species
UUAUUCUAGAUCACACUUCCCAUAAAGCGCCUGCCCGCAAAUACCACCUUGGUUUUUUUUCCCCAUAGAGCAUUGACCUAACUCUGUUCCAGGAAUGGUCUGAGAAAGAAGAUACUAAAAUAGGAUAUUAGAGCUGUUUUGCCCACUGGCUGGCUGACAAGGAGGAUUCCAUCACUGAUGAUAUGUGGAGUACAGAAAACCCCUGGCAUGGUGUGGAAGUGGUCUUGUUAACACUCUUGCUGACGUUAAACUGGGAUGGGAUGCUAGAGGCAAGAAACAUGCUGAGUAUGGCUUGACAAGCAGUGCUAGGUCCUUGCCCGGGACCCAAAUCCGUGAACCCCGGGCCACCAAAGUAUAGUGCACGAACUUAGCCACUACACCACCAGGCCAGCGCCCUAUUGACUUUUUUAAUGUUUUCUCUUGUGUGUAGUUUUCAACACUUUGACUCUGAUAUAUGACGGUGAUGUACCUAGGUGCGACCAGUCCAUAACAAGCAAGUGGAAAGUCAAAGUAACUGAUUUAGAGCACAGACUAAAAGCAGAUGACUCUCUAAGUCUCCAAAGGACUCAAAGAGUGGAAAACGACUGGGUAUAUUUUGCCAGCAUCUUUUAUAAACCCACAUUGCUGCAUUGUGCUCCUUAGCUGAUGAGGGAAAAGUGGAGAUUUUCAUCUUAAAACCAAAUAUAAAAUUAAAUCAUCUCUUCAUUGAACUCCUUGACCAUGUUACUCUUAAAAUUAAAGGGUCUAUCAUGUCCAGCUUCCCCGG